ensembl:lncRNA
CUUUAGGCGUGAGGUCAGGGCAGCAGAGGCCCUUGACAUUCCCCUUGGGUGGCCCAGAGGGCCAGGCUUGUGGCCUAGAGCCCGCUGUGUGUCAGGGUCUGAAGAAUGCUCGGUCCCUGCUCAGAACAGGAGACAGUGCCAAGGUUGGCAAUGCAGACAUCAAGACAGAAGAACAUGCUUUGCCCUUUAAAAGCUUCUUGUUCCCUGGAGAGACCAGUGAUGUGUCUGAGCAUGGAGAAGACACAGCGGGGCUGAGUCACUAAUGCUGGAUACACCCAAAGUCAAGAAAAAAAAUAGUUACAUUUGGUCUGAGGACAACUAUGUCCUGAAUAAGGUGGUAAGAAGUCUGGACUCAUGAGACACACUUGCAUGUCUCAUUUGAAGGAGCAGUUUCUCCAGUUUGUACCCACAGUAUAGGUCAGUGCUGACCUGUCUCCAGCUCCUGGACUGACGCAAUCUUCAGAAACAGAAGCUGGAGGCCAGAGGAGGAACCAAAUGGGAGAGGCCACAUGCUCCAACGAUGCAAAUGGUAUUACUGAGAAAGAAUGUUCAUGAUGGUUACCAGCCACUGAGUGCAAAAUUGUGUGAUCUCAUCUCACUCCUAGAACAACCCAUGGGGUAGGUACAUUUUUGGCGAUACAGACACCAAAGCAUUGGUGUCAAAGUGACUUACUCAUCUCAGUGGCAGCUCUAGAAUCAGUUCACACCUUAAUGACAAAGUGCCCCGUUUUUGGUUUCCGGUUGCCUGCCUCUCAGAUAAGCAUAGCACUCUGUUGUGUGGGAUGGAUAUGGCAUUCUCCUUAAUGGCACUGUUCAUGGCACUGAGGUCUUCAGAAUACACUCUUGAUGGCCACCAGCAAACAGGUUUCAUGCUGGCAGGAUGCUAUCAAAGGCUGGACAGACUAUAGCCAGAGAACUUGUAGGUCCCUGCACUCUGGGUGAAUGACCCCAGGGGCUACUGUAGAAAGACUAAGAAUUUUGAAGAGAGAUUCCUGUGAUACCGAAUCUGCAGAGAAUGGGAAUGGCCAAGUGCCCAGAGUUGACUUUGGAACUGCUGACGUGAGUUUCCAUCUCAAAGCAUCCCAGUCCUUGGUCAAAAAUUUCCUGUUUUCUGAGUUUAUUUUACUCUGGAUUUUAGAGGUGUUAGCAAUUCUAUUUAGUAGAGAUUGAUGCAUUAUUGUUAAAGUUUUAUCAUAAAUUGGCACUUUCCCCUUGAAAGAUGUUCAUGAACUGUGACCUGAAGUGUGUGAUUUUUCAAGUGUGUUGUUGAACAGAAAUUUUUUUCUGUAGAAACAUGUCUCUGAAAUUUUAGUGUGCAUCAAAUGGGAAUAUGCGAGUCUACUUACAAAAACUCUAUUUAUAAUUCUUUUUUUCCCAAGGACCACAUUAAGUGAAAUAUGACUAUGUAUAGGAAAAAUUUCAUGGGUGGGACCCAUAGG